AGAGUUGAUUAUGGCUCAGGAUGAACGCUAGCGACAGGCUAACACAUGCAAGUCGAGGGGCAGCACGGGAGUAGCAAUACUUGGUGGCGACCGGCGCACGGGUGAGUAACGCGUAUGCAACCUACCUAUCAGAGGGGAAUAACCCGGCGAAAGUCGGACUAAUACCGCAUAAAACAGGGGCACCGCAUGGUGAUAUUUGUUAAAGAAAUUCGCUGAUAGAUGGGCAUGCGUUCCAUUAGGUAGUUGGUGAGGUAACGGCUCACCAAGCCGACGAUGGAUAGGGGAACUGAGAGGUUGGUCCCCCACACUGGUACUGAGACACGGACCAGACUCCUACGGGAGGCAGCAGUGAGGAAUAUUGGUCAAUGGGCGGGAGCCUGAACCAGCCAAGUCGCGUGAAGGAAGAAGGAUCUAUGGUUCGUAAACUUCUUUUGCAGGGGAAUAAAGUGCAGGACGUGUCCUGUUUUGUAUGUACCCUGAGAAUAAGGAUCGGCUAACUCCGUGCCAGCCGCUGC
rnacentral:rRNA from 1 species